rnacentral:rRNA from 1 species
GCUCAGAACGAACGCUGGCGGCAGGCUUAACACAUGCAAGUCGAACGCCCCGCAAGGGGAGUGGCAGACGGGUGAGUAACGCGUGGGAAUCUACCGUACCCUACGGAAUAACGCAUGGAAACGUGUGCUAAUACCGUAUACGCCCUACGGGGGAAAGAUUUAUCGGGGUAUGAUGAGCCCGCGUUGGAUUAGCUAGUUGGUGGGGUAAAGGCCUACCAAGGCGACGAUCCAUAGCUGGUCUGAGAGGAUGAUCAGCCACAUUGGGACUGAGACACGGCCCAAACUCCUACGGGAGGCAGCAGUGGGGAAUAUUGGACAAUGGGCGCAAGCCUGAUCCAGCCAUGCCGCGUGAGUGAUGAAGGUCUUAGGAUUGUAAAGCUCUUUCACCGAUGAAGAUAAUGACGGUAGUCGAGAAG